UGGCAAGUGAUAUAAAUAUGACUAAAAAUGAUUUCUUUGGGAACAGGAGAUAUGUGUGCAAAAAAGAAAACUUGUAAAGCAUUAAAAGAUGUGUGCUUGAAACACACAUGGUAGUAUUUAAAUUUAUUAAAAUUUUGGCAUUUUGCUGGAGGGAAUAUUUCAUUUUUGCUGGAACAAUCAGGGAAAACUUCUUGGGAGAAACGGCAUUUGAUUUAAACUAAGGGCUUCAGAACCUUUCGAAUGAGGGGAGAGGCACUAUGUAGAAGUAAGAAAACUCUUGGUGAAUUUGGAGAAUAAAAUAUACUGAGAGUGGGUCAAAACAUGACAAUAACAAAAAGUCUAGAUCGUAACCUUCUUUUUGUCUCAGCAAUAUUUUAAAAAAAACAGUUCAGCUUGAAAAUGGUCACCUUUCUGAUUCUUUACAGGUAGCGGUUGGUCCUACCAGCAACACCUGGAGGCGGGCUCUGCCCGGGAAGGCGCCCAGGUGCGGUAACUUCACGGAUCCUUUGAAAAGCGGCAACCCAGCCAUCAAGCCUGGGACUCACGCGGGUGCAGAGGUCGCUUCCAGGGUUUUGACCACAAGCAGACAAGAAUUUAAGGACACCCUUUAUGAGACGUCUGUGCCUGAAUUCUGCAGGAAUUACGAACAUCUUCCCGUUCCUGGUGGUAUCCUAUAUACCUGGUAGAUUACGCGAACAUGAACAUCCCUUAUCCAGCUAAUAUUUUACAGGUAGGACACUGAUGCUCAUGCCUAGACAUGUGGAUCCCCCCAUCCUUUCAAUGGGGAAGUCUACUUUCCUCUUCAGAAAAUCUUAAUGUUUGUUUAUAAGACUCUUAAUCUCUCAUCAUAAACCAGUAUUUUUAUGGGAGAAAAAAAAAGCCCAUGAGACUGACGAACACAGAGUGUGCUGGCUCUGUGCCAGGCACCACUCUCAAUCCUUUCAUGUGUUCACUUCUUUCCUCCUCCAGCAGCCUUGUGAUGCGGUAUUCUAGCACCAUUUACAGAUGAGAAAACACACUGGUUAUGAACCUUGCCCUAGAUCCGCAGAGGGGGCCUGACUUCAGAGUCCAUGCUCGUACCCACAGAGCAAGGCUGCCAUUUCCACAGGAUUGAAUGAGCCACAAGUGUUAAACUCCAAGUGUUUACAAUCGUGACCAAAAGCACGGUUGCUAAUUGCACAAGGAUCCCGUCAAGCCUGGCUCCGGAGGUGGCUAGCCUGAGCAUCUCCUAACGUCCCCGCGUAUCUAAUGGCAAUUGUCUCCGGAGGCUGCCAGGUGGCGCUCUUCCCGAGUUUAUGUGGUGUUUGCAACGCCCACUGUUGGGGUCAGAGAGGGUGCUUACUUUGAGGUGUGUGAGUUUAUGGUGACAUAGCUGCUCACUUAUUUUAUCUGUCACCACACAAAGUUAUUACAGUAUUGACUAUAUUCCCUAUGAUGGACGGAGACAUAGCUUUUUAAAAGAGC
rnacentral:lncRNA from 1 species